GCACACACACACACACACACACACACACACACACACACAGUAGUUCUUACAAUCUUUCUGACUCUUCUUCCACGAGCCCUGAGGGAAGAGAUUUGCUGAAGAAAACCUUCUAGGGCUGAGUGUUCCAAGGACUGAUUUUCUGCUCACUGUCCAGUUGAGAAUUUCUGAAUUUAUUCCCAUCUCCUGCAGUAGGGAGCUUUGUCCAAUGACGACUGGUCAGGAAGUGUCAAAGUGACCUACAAGAGAGAGACAGGAAUGGAGAACAAGGAGAACAAGCCAAUCCCUGCUUCAGACCAUGCCAGAGCUCCUGCCCACUUCCCUCUGUGAUGGACUGGGACAUAGUGGUGUAAGCCAAAGAAACCAUUCCCUCCCCAUGCUGCUUUUGGCUGGCAUUUCUCACAGCAACAAACCCCAAAAUUGAACGGCAAUUUAAGGAAGGAAGGAUUUGCUUGAUCUAAAAACUCUGAAGAUGCUGUCAGAGGAGCAAUAGAGAACUCCCUGAGGCCCUUGUGGUCAUCAGAUUCCCUGAGCUGGAAGCACAGGUGUUGGCUCAUCACCUGAUAUGUGUGCUGGGAUUCAAACCCAGGGUUUCCAGAAGAGUAGCAAGCCCUCCUAAAUGCCUAGCCAUGUCUCCUGCCCCAAGACGGUGAUUCAUGCUGCAUAGUCAGCUGGCCACAUCAGCAGGAGCUGGGAAUCUCAACCCAAUGAGGUCCAGAAAAGGGCAGUGAGAAAUGAAUUGUGGGAACAUUCUCUGCAUUCGCCGAAAACAAAGAACAGAGUUUGCCCAGGACACCCAACUCUGAGGAGGCUGGAGCUGGCCAGGGUCACAGCUGGUAGGGCCACAGACAGUCAUGGCAGCAUUCUGAGGAGCUGAGUCUCUUCUCAGAAGUAGAGCUGCAGCACAGGCUGGUUUCCCUGGAAAAUGCCUCUGGAACCUUCUCUCAAGCUCUCCACACAUUGUGUUGCCACCAAAGAACAGCCGGGGUAUUAAGUAAAGAUGUGCAUAGGAGGACAAAGAGAAUCUCUCCCUAUGCACAGGGAGCAGAUGAACGGAUCUAGACGUCUGUGAGGUGUGGUUUGUUCAGCAGAAGGCUUAGGUUUGAACUCAUGAGUUCAAGGCCAGUCAGGGACACAGGGUAAGACCUUGUCAGGU
rnacentral:lncRNA from 1 species